UGAGACGCAAUACCGCGAGGUGGAGCAAAUCUAUAAAAUAUGUCCCAGUUCGGAUUGUUCUCUGCAACUCGAGAGCAUGAAGCCGGAAUCGCUAGUAAUCGUAGAUCAGCCAUGCUACGGUGAAUACGUUCCCGGGUCUUGUACUCACCGCCCGUCACACCAUGGGAGUUGAUUUCACUCGAAGCCGGAAUACUAAACUAGUUACCGUCCACAGUGGAAUCAGCGACUGGGGUGAAGUCGUAACAAGGUAACCGUAGGAGAACCUGCGGUUGGAUCACCUCCUUUCUAG
rnacentral:rRNA from 1 species